rnacentral:tRNA from 1 species
GUUUUAAUAGUUUAAUUAAAAACUUCGGUCUUGUAAAUCGAAAAUGAAAAUAUAUUUCUUAAAGCA